rnacentral:lncRNA from 1 species
CGAGAAAUGAGUCCACUCUAUUGAAACCAGAGUAGUAGACUGCCCAGGAGUGGAUUUAACCAGAAAGACCAAGACCCUUGUGAAGAUACACAGUGUCAUUGUAAGAUGCAAAACAGUACCCAAGUACUGAAUGCAGUUGAAUGCACCAGAGAAGCCCCAGCCUUGUCGUUGUGUUCAUGUGAUCCCACUAUGCUUCUAGCAGAGCUGCCAACUUGGUUAUGAAAUGAAAAAAUUAUGUUUAAACUCAUGUGAAACAGAGGAUGGGGCCAAAGGUGGGAAGACAUGCUCCAUGGCCUGCAGAGUUGGGAUGUGCACACUGGGAGCCUUCAGGUUACCUUGUGUGGCGAUGCUAAUGAGAAAUGUCACCUGUAGUCUCAGACAUUUGAAUAUUCAGUAUCCAGGUGGUGGCGCUGUUUGGGGUGGCUUCAGCAUAUGACCUUGCUGGAGGAGGAAUUGCCACUGAAUGUGGGCUUUCAGAAUUUAAAGACUUGUGUGAUUCCUAAUGAGCUCUCUCUGCUUCCUGCUUGUGGUUCAAGGUUGCUCUGGUCAUUGUGCUUUAUAACAGCAACAGGGAAGUAACUGGUGUACCUCAUCACAUGUGGGCCUGGCCCGGAAUCUGAUGGAAUCAGAGACUAAGAGCCUCAAGGACAGAACUCACACACUGGGUCAGUGUGAGGGUUUGCAGUGCAGCAGACUCGAGGCUUCUCUUCAUACUAAAUCAACUUGGUGUGUUGCUUGUCCUCAUCGAAAACACAGAUCAAGACUUAAAUCCACCACGGACUGCUCUCCA